GCUGGGUGCAGUGGUGCAUGCCUGUAAUCCCAGUGACCUGGGAGGCUAAGGCAGGAGGAUUGCAAGUUGGAGGCCAGCCUCAGUAACUUAGCAAGACCCUGUCUCAA
rnacentral:sRNA from 1 species